UCUGCCAGAGCCUUAAUGAUACAGAUGAGGAUGCCUGCAGCCAACCAUUGGACUGAGCAUGGGGACCCCAAAGGAGGAGUUAGGGAAAGGACUGAAAGAGCUGAAGGGGUUUGCAAUCCCAUAGGAAGAACAACAAUAUCAACCAGACCCUACCAGAGCUCCCAGGGACUAAACCACCAACCAGCUUCAGAGAAACCAGUACUAUGGCUAUGACAGUGCUGUCAGUAUGAUGGAACCUAGAGUCACCUUGAGGACAAUCCUCUCCCCUCGCUUUGGGGGAUGACUUUGACUAGGUUAGCUGAUGUGGAAAACUCCAGCUUAGCUGUAAGAAAUACCGGUCCCUGGAUGGAGAUCCUGGGCUAUGCGGAGUGGGAGAAGCCAGCUGGGCACUCCGCAACAUUCAUUCCUCUCACCUCUGACACAGAAGUCAUGUGACCAGUUAUUUGAUGAACCCGCAGCCUAGACUUGUUUGAGGUGAUGUACUGUACCUGACCUGUGAACUAAAUGAACUUUUCCUUCCUUUAGUAGUUUUGGUUAGGCCGUUUACCACAGCAACAACAAAAGAGACUACAGUAUAACUAUAACGGUGGGCACAGAUUAUAAGAAAUUGAGGGGCUGGGGAUUUAGCUCAGUGGUAGAGCGCUUACCUAGGAAGCGCUAAGGCCCUGGGUUCGGUCCCCAGCUCCGAAAAAAAAGAACCAAAAAAAAAAAAAAAAAAGAAAUUGAAACACCAAGAAGAUAAUUUUUACUAAAAAGUGAUUUGAAUUUUCAAAAAAAAAAAGUUUAUCUCUGCAACUGGGGUGAGCUUGUGAUUUUUCUCACAGUACCAAAAUGAUAAAAUAUGCAAUUAACUUUGUGGUUCCGCCAGAAAUCUCCUAGUUCCUUUAUUUACCAACAUCCCGCUUAAUAGCGGUGUUUCCUUAUUACAACUGUGUGGUCCACAAAUACUAUAAAAGAAACACUUUGAAACACUGCCAAAACUCAAGUGUGCAAUUCACAAGUCACAGGCCUUACUUUACCUAUUUGCUUGGUUUUUGAGAGACGGCCUCAUGACAAAGCCUUAGCUGGAUUGGAAUUUCUUAUGUAGACCAGGCUGGCUUUGAACUUGUAAAGAUCUUAACGCCCCCUCCGACUCUGGAGUCCUGGGAUUAAAAGCAUAUGCGACCAUAUGCAGCUAUUUUUUUUUUUACAUUAUUUCUAAACUAAUGUGCAGAGCAUCGGAUGUCUUUGUGGUAUUUUCAAAUGAAGAGUGUUUUCAUGCAUUGUCCCUCCAACCCUUCCCCCAACCUCUCUGUUACUCUUAGUCCCUCCCCGCCCCCAUGGCUUCUCCCCCAGUCUCUUCCUUCAGGUCCAGGAACGCAACUCAGGUCCAGAUGCUGCACAGAGGGCACCUUUCUCCCGAGACAUCUUCCCAGACCCUGAGCCAGAACUUUCAACAGCGGCAGUGAUAGGAAUGAAACAUCAGAGCAAACCGCACUUUGGAUCCGUGCGCUGAGGAUCCAAACUCGGGCCUUCUUGUUUGUGUGGUAAGCACCUCGCCAACUGAACCAUCUCCGCAGCUCAGUAGAUCUGUGCGAUCCUCUUGGGCGUGUCUCCAAAGAAGUCGGCCGCAUCGAUGGCAGCGUGCAGCGCGUGCAGGGUCUUGAGUACAUUCAGAUGGCCCGACUCAGCUGCAAAGUGAGCUGCAGUCCAGCCCACAUCAGUUACCAAGCAGGGUCUGGCUCCGUAUUGUAUCAGGAGAUGGAUCACCUCCAUUUGCCCUUAGAUACACCAUAGGGAAAGGAGACAAAGUUCCUGAACUUUCUACCCUACUCAAAAUAACCGGAAGUUGGAAACAAACUAGAUGUCCCUUAAGAGAAAAAAUGGAUGACGACUGCAUAGUGGAAUAUUACUCAGCUGUUAAAAAUGGCAUCAUGAAAUGUGCAGACAAGUGGAUGGAACUAAAAACAUCAUCCUGAGUGAGAUAUUCCACUCACAAAGGUAAAUAUACUAUGUACUCACUUAUAUGUGGGUAUCAGCUGUGAAAUCAGUGAUACCUAAUCAUACAUAAGACCACAGAGAUUAGCUAUCAAGUAACAACAUACUAGAGAGCACAGACAGAUCUCAUUAGGAAAGGGAAAUAGAACAGAUAGUUAUGGAUAAUGUAGGGGGCUGAACUGGGCGGAAAGAGUGGGGAGUGUGGAGGAAGAAGGGUUGUGAAAGGGAAUACAGGGAGAGGCAGAU